rnacentral:lncRNA from 1 species
GACCAGAGCAAGGCCACCUGAACUCUCCAAUAGACGAUAAACUACAAGGGAUUCACAGGCGGGUACCCCUGUGUGGAAGUAAAGCUGUGUGGAAGUAAAGCUUAUUCUGGGAGCCCAAUCCGAGGCUGGGGUAGGUAGGCGCGGGGCUAGUUAAGCCUUGGGGAAGCGCGGGCUAGGUCGUUGCGCGUCUGCUCCUCCUGGCGUUUUUCCUGCCGCCCUAGUCCUGCUUUGGCCAUGAGGGAGCUCGUACUCAAGCAGACCGAGCAGUGCAGGAACUAGUUUGGCGCCAAGUUCUGGGAGGUGAUCUCUGACGAACAUGCCAUUGACUCCACUGACAGCUACCACGGGGACAGCAACUUGCAUCUGGAGCACAUCAACGUGUACUACAACGAGGCCAGCGGUAGGUAGCCCGCGCUGUGCUCAUGGAUCUGGAGCCGGGCAUCAUGGACUCUGUGUACUCCAGGCCCUUCGGGUGGAUCUUCAGGCUGGACAACUCCAUCUUCGGUCAGUGUGAAGCUAGGAACAACUGGGCCAAGGGGCGCUACACAGAAGGCGCAGAGCUGAUGGAGUGGGUAGUGGACGUUGUGAGGAAAGAGGCUGAGAGCCGUGACUGACUGCAGGGUUCCAGCUGAUUCACUCCCUGGGUGGGGGGACUGGGUCUGGGAUGGGUACCCUUCUCAUCAGUAAGAUCUAGGAAGAAUACCCAGAUAGGAUCAUAAACACAUCCAGUGUGCUGUCCU